CCCCCCCCACCCCCUAACAAGGGUGCGAGGGCGGGGGCGGAUGCUGGCCUCCCGUGCGCGCUCUCCGCUCGCGGUUGGCCCAAAAGCGAGUCCCCGGCGUCAGGCGCAAGGGCAAGCGGUGGCCACUCGUGUCCGCGUCCUGUGCCCCUGUGCACCCGGCGUCCCACAUUUGGGAGCUCUUUCGAACCCCGAUGCGUCGUCCACACGGACGGCCUCGCAACGCGACCCCAGGUCAGGCGGGACUACCCGCUGAGUUUAAGCAUAUCAAUAAGCGGAGGAAAAGAAACUUACCAGGAUUCCCCUAGUAACGGCGA
rnacentral:rRNA from 1 species